UACGGGGGGAGCAAGCGUUGUUCGGAUUUACUGGGCGUAAAGGGCGCGUAGGCGGCCACCGCAAGUCAAUUGUGAAAUCGUCCGGCUAACUCGGAAAGGUCAACUGAUACUGCGGGGCUAGAGUGCGGAAGGGGCAACUGGAAUUCUCGGUGUAGCGGUGAAAUGCGUAGAUAUCGAGAGGAACACCUGCGGCGAAGGCGGGUUGCUGGGCCGACACUGACGCUGAUGCGCGAAAGCCAGGGGAGCGAACGGG
rnacentral:rRNA from 1 species